rnacentral:lncRNA from 1 species
UUUUAACUUCUAGCCAUGGCGAACGAUCCCAGGGGAGCAUAGACUGAACCCCUCUAUGAACUCUCUUGGAGUGGAUCAGACUGAUGAUCACCAACAACCAGCUCAUUCCCGGAUAAGGAAGAAGAGAGUGUUACCCACUUCAGUGUGGUUUCAACCCCACUUCUA